AUUGAACGCUGGCGGCAUGCCUUACACAUGCAAGUCGAACGGCAGCACGGGAGCAAUCCUGGUGGCGAGUGGCGAACGGGUGAGUAAUAUAUCGGAACGUGCCCAGUCGUGGGGGAUAACGCAGCGAAAGCUGUGCUAAUACCGCAUACGAUCUACGGAUGAAAGCGGGGGAUCGCAAGACCUCGCGCGAUUGGAGCGGCCGAUAUCAGAUUAGCUAGUUGGUGAGGUAAAGGCUCACCAAGGCGACGAUCUGUAGCUGGUCUGAGAGGACGACCAGCAACACUGGAACUGAGACACGGUCCAGACUCCUACGGGAGGCAGCAGUGGGGAAUUUUGGACAAUGGGCGCAAGCCUGAUCCAGCAAUGCCGCGUGCAGGAUGAAGGCCUUCGGGUUGUAAACUGCUUUUGUACGGAGCGAAACGGUCUUUCCUAAUACGAGAGGCUAAUGACGGUACCGUAAGAAUAAGCACCGGCUAACUACGUGCCAGCCGCCGCAGUAACAC
rnacentral:rRNA from 1 species